CUAACCCAAAGCUUCCACCGAUGCCCAUUCCACGGCGGCGGAGGCCGGCAGCUUAUCCAAGUAGCCAUGGCAGUGCGCAUGGCGGUGGGCCUGCGCGCGAUGGUGGCGUCGUCUACCCCUCCGCGGUGCCGUAUGCUGCCGGCGAGCGUGGAACCUGCAGCUGGUUCAGUGACUUGAGCCCUUAUUGUUCAGAAUUGUGAAGGAAAACAUACCAGUGCCUUGAAGGAGAUGAGUGAGCCAUUGAAGAUGCGCGUCUUGAGCCUGUCAUCAGCUUUUCAAGCAGCUUGGUGGCAUCGAAUCUGUAUUGACAUGGCAAAUCCUGACAUCAGACAUCAUGUCUUCCUACCAUGCAGAGUAAGUUAUUCGGGAUAUGAUCUCCUUUCUACCCUUACAGGAUGGUACAGAUAAUAAAAUAAGAAGCAGGUAGAAUUUUUCUUGGUUUUGAUCUUUCACUGUCAGUUAUUUCUCUUGCAAAUUUGGUUUGUUGUUUGCCUCGCUAAGUGGCUAACAAUCAUAAUUAGAUCAGUUUUUCAAUCUUAAAUAAGUUUUAUC